GACGAAGGGGGCUAGCGUUGUUCGGAAUUACUGGGCGUAAAGCGCGCGCAGGCGGCUAUCCAAGUCAGUGGUGAAAGCCCGGAGCUCAACUCCGGAACUGCCAUUGAAACUGUUUAGCUUGAGGACGAGAGAGGUGAGUGGAAUUCCCAGUGUAGAGGUGAAAUUCGUAGAUAUUGGGAAGAACACCGGUGGCGAAGGCGGCUCACUGGCUCGUAUCUGACGCUCAGGCGCGACAGCGUGGGGAUCAAACAGG
rnacentral:rRNA from 1 species